AUUGAACGCUAGCGGGCUGCCUUACACAUGCAAGUCGAACGAGUGGCGUACCGGUGAGCCAUGUAUCGGAACGUGCCCAGUAGCGGGGGAUAACUACGCGAAACGUAGCUAAUACCGCAUACUAUUGGAGCGGCCGAUAUCGGAUUAGCUAGUUGGGGGGGUAACGGCUCACCAAGGCGAUGAGCCGUAGCGGGUUUGCGAGGACGACCAGCCACAUAUGGACUAGGACACUGCCCAUACUCCUACGGGAGGCAACGGUGGGGAAUUUGGGACAAUGGAGGGAACGCUGAUCCAGCCAGCCCGCGUGUGCGAUGAAGGCCUUCAAGGUGUAAAGCACGAUUGGCAGGAAAGCGGUACCUGCAGAAUACGCACCGGCUAACUACGUGCCAGCAGCCGCGGUAAUAG
rnacentral:rRNA from 1 species